UUAUUUACAUGUGGAUGCGAGCUUUACGGCUGCCACGCUUUAACGCCCGUUUUCGAAGAAUACCCGGCAGCAUCUUCGUCGCACGGAAGGAGACCUCCAGCCUCCCUGAAAGCAGGAAACGAUCAGCGGCGGGGCGACGCGGACGGAGGAAUCGUUACAAUAAAUGAAAGGGGCAGCGGUUUGACGAGCACGACCUUGAGCUGGUGAAAAAGCGAGGCACCGUGGUACGCGAACAAUGCCCGUGUUACAGAAACGGUCGUCAUAGUCCCUCUGUCGCUCCAGUUUGCUCUCCAGUCUGCUGAUGUGCUGUCUGCGGGCCUCGAGUUCUUCCUCCAGCCGCGCCGUCGCCUGUGCACUGGUCUCCUGGAGACGUUGCAGGCUCUGCUGUAACCUGGACACCUCCUCGACCAGCUGGCUGAUCUGGAACCAAAGAUGGUAAGACUCGACGUCGACGUCGAAUUUUCACGUUCGUCGAAGGUGACGUCGGUUAUCCUCGACGAACUUCCACUUUUGCACACUCGAUCGCGAUCGUAUCGACGACGAGAGAAUCCUGGAUGCGGGGAAUCGAUGCAGGAACUGGAUAAUCGACUUGUCACGCACGCGGACGAUUUGGAAGUGAGCAGGGGCUAUUCGUGGGCCACGCUCGUCGUGGAACCUUUCCAUCCUUGCUGCAGGCGUCGAGGAGCACAAUAACCCCAGCUUCCCGCAACAGCCGAGGUGCCCAUUGGCGCCGAAGUUCUUCGAACCGAUAAGGGGCACAGGUUCGUUUCUUCGAUGGAACUCGUUCGGGAAUCGAUCUCGGACGAGAUGGAUUUCAAGACGUUUCCAGGGUCCGAGGUCAUCGUAUCCAGAAACUGCGGCUUCCGUAAGAAAGAUGGGAGGCUACGUGGAAAAUAUUUUCAGGCAACGUAUUUCAGCUAUGCUUCGACGAAGCUCACUCUUUCAGGACCAAUAGAAGUUUCAAAGAGCUGCAAUCCAUAACGCCCGCGCGUGUCCCAGGCUUCCGUAGGAAUUCCAAGCCCGAAAUUGCAAGGAAUCGUUGCGGGGAGUUGAGCAACAGCGUUGCAACGACGGUCCGCCAACAGGGGUUUUCGGGCCACGGAGACUUCUUCCGAAGGUGGGGGAAGAUGGAGAACCGUCGGCCAGGAAGAAACAGGAGGUGGGAACCUGCUGGCUCUAAUGAACUUACAAUAAUUACGAACCCAUUGAUCUAUGGGGUCUGAAGAGUUUUCCCCCCUGCGCAACAUUGCGGAGGAUCUCGUCUGUUGUUACUCCGAUCCACCCUUGUUGCUCGAAAGCUUCUAGGAUUCGUUGACACAUCGGCUGCUGUACUCGUGAAAAUGUCUACAGAGUUCAAAUUUACAGUUAAAAAUUACAGAGCGAAAAUGUUCGGAAUGGCCAUUAUCGAGAUAAAUACGCGACUGCGGUCUCAAUCUUUCAACCAUUCCAAGUAUUUUGUCCAGGUUCGUUAGCAACUACCUCGUACACAUUGGUAAAGUAUCUCAACAGUGGUAAUGGGCGCUGAAAAAACAAAUCCUUUAAUUGACCCCAAAAAUAAAAGUCCGACGGACUUAAAUCUUAGAAACGAGCAAACCAGACAGUAGCUAUUGUAUCCAUCUGUUAGAAAAUCGUUCGUUCGAGAAUUGGCUACUCGUGAACGUGGCGGUGACCAUACAUAAAUUACGCCCGAGGUACGACAUGUAAUGGAACUUCAAAUAAUUCACGCGAUUGAUUACUCGAGAGAUUCGCAUAUGAUUAACCUGUCGCGUUAUCGUCGAUUAAACCUGCUCACAAAUUUGAGCUGACGACGAAUGAUUAUUAAUGUUAUUGGUGAAUA